AGAGUUUGAUCCUGGCUCAGGAUGAACGCUGGCGGCGUGCCUAAUACAUGCAAGUCGAGCGAACGGACGAGAAGCUUGCUUCUCUGAUGUUAGCGGCGGACGGGUGAGUAACACGUGGAUAACCUACCUAUAAGACUGGGAUAACUUCGGGAAACCGGAGCUAAUACCGGAUAAUAUUUUGAACCGCAUGGUUCAAAAGUGAAAGACGGUCUUGCUGUCACUUAUAGAUGGAUCCGCGCUGCAUUAGCUAGUUGGUAAGGUAACGGCUUACCAAGGCAACGAUGCAUAGCCGACCUGAGAGGGUGAUCGGCCACACUGGAACUGAGACACGGUCCAGACUCCUACGGGAGGCAGCAGUAGGGAAUCUUCCGCAAUGGGCGAAAGCCUGACGGAGCAACGCCGCGUGAGUGAUGAAGGUCUUCGGAUCGUAAAACUCUGUUAUUAGGGAAGAACAUAUGUGUAAGUAACUGUGCACAUCUUGACGGUACCUAAUCAGAAAGCCACGGCUAACUACGUGCCAGCAGCCGCGGUAAUACGUAGGUGGCAAGCGUUAUCCGGAAUUAUUGGGCGUAAAGCGCGCGUAGGCGGUUUUUUAAGUCUGAUGUGAAAGCCCACGGCUCAACCGUGGAGGGUCAUUGGAAACUGGAAAACUUGAGUGCAGAAGAGGAAAGUGGAAUUCCAUGUGUAGCGGUGAAAUGCGCAGAGAUAUGGAGGAACACCAGUGGCGAAGGCGACUUUCUGGUCUGUAACUGACGCUGAUGUGCGAAAGCGUGGGGAUCAAACAGGAUUAGAUACCCUGGUAGUCCACGCCGUAAACGAUGAGUGCUAAGUGUUAGGGGGUUUCCGCCCCUUAGUGCUGCAGCUAACGCAUUAAGCACUCCGCCUGGGGAGUACGACCGCAAGGUUGAAACUCAAAGGAAUUGACGGGGACCCGCACAAGCGGUGGAGCAUGUGGUUUAAUUCGAAGCAACGCGAAGAACCUUACCAAAUCUUGCCAUCCUUUGACAACUCUAGAGAUAGAGCCUUCCCCUUCGGGGGACAAAGUGACAGGUGGUGCAUGGUUGUCGUCAGCUCGUGUCGUGAGAUGUUGGGUUAAGUCCCGCAACGAGCGCAACCCUUAAGCUUAGUUGCCAUCAUUAAGUUGGGCACUCUAAGUUGACUGCCGGUGACAAACCGGAGGAAGGUGGGGAUGACGUCAAAUCAUCAUGCCCCUUAUGAUUUGGGCUACACACGUGCUACAAUGGACAAUACAAAGGGCAGCGAAACCGCGAGGUCAAGCAAAUCCCAUAAAGUUGUUCUCAGUUCGGAUUGUAGUCUGCAACUCGACUACAUGAAGCUGGAAUCGCUAGUAAUCGUAGAUCAGCAUGCUACGGUGAAUACGUUCCCGGGUCUUGUACACACCGCCCGUCACACCACGAGAGUUUGUAACACCCGAAGCCGGUGGAGUAACCUUUUAGGAGCUAGCCGUCGAAGGUGGGACAAAUGAUUGGGGUGAAGUCGUAACAAGGUAGCCGUAUCGGAAGGUGCGGCUGGAUCACCU
rnacentral:rRNA from 1 species